CCAUCCCAUUUCCUCUUUUCCUUUAACCAAGCACUAGAAAAACUUCAUCUCAUCAUAGAACACCCCUACCACACCAAACUCACCCUCUAACAACCUAACGAAAUUAUGCAUAUUUUUAAACAGAGCUCAUAGUAAGCCUACUUUCCUCCAAACAGAUCCCAUAUAUAGUAGGCCAAAAAACUUCCUAUAUACUAGUUUCCUAAUUGUUAAGUUUAACUUUUUUUAUUUAUAUAAGCACCAUAUA
rnacentral:lncRNA from 1 species